rnacentral:lncRNA from 1 species
CACAUUCUCGAAAGCCUCCUCCUUCACGAAUUAGGUUUCUGUGUUGCCACGUUUGGGGAAUAACUCGCAGUGGGUUUCAUGGUUCGAUUGAGUUUUCUGAUUUGGAUUUUUUUGUAUUAGGGCUGAUUGGGUUUUCUGAUUGGGGGUUUCAUGGUUCGAUUGGGUUAUCUGAUUUGAACGGUGCUCUGGCGAAGAUGAACUGUGGUGGAGAAGUUGUGCAUGGUUGACGAAGUAUAAGAUGGAUCAUGGUGAUUGCUAGUGACGAUGGUGCAUGGUGACUGACAGAGGAGUUAUGGUGGUCCGAUGAUGGUGGCGGCACAAGGAGGUUGGUAAGAGAAUUAGGGUUCAGGAGAUGAAAGAUGAAACUGAUGUGGCAGGGAUGAUGAGGUGGUUGCCUCAUAUUAGUUUCUUCACCGCCAAUAAAAGACCACAGCGUGCCACGUC